UUGCGUUUUUAAGUUACUACUGGUUAGUAGCUAACUUUACAUUUCCAAUUUUGGAUGGUUUAUGAAUGAUGUUCGUGGGUUUGACUUUGGGAUGGGACAUUUUAGAUGAUGUAUUGGUUGUGGUUGAUGCAAUCCAUUUAAUUAGUUACAUGUGGCCGUCAGGACGUGUGCGCCGACUCCCUGCGCUGAUUGGAAGUAAUCGUUAGUGGAUUCUGCAUGUCUUGUUAAAUUUUGAACUCAGAUUUUGUGAAUUUUUUUAAUUAUAUUCUAAUAAAAUCUGAAUCCUGUGGGGAUAGAUAAAUUUCUACAGAUUUAAUACAGUAGCAAUAUGGAGCUAAGUGAGCUGCUAAUGGCAAUUAAUGGUCGAUUCAUGGUGCUGCAUUAAUAGUCGGAUAACAUGUCUAGCUUGAGUACUGGUUGGGUUGGGUUGUGAUAGCCUUAGAUUCUGUUAUGCAGAUGGCCCUUGAAAUAGUGGGAUCAGGUGGUGUUGUUCUGCCGAAUUGAGCCUUAAUUCUAUCUAUGUUAAUUUGGCAUGUUGAUGCUAGUAGUUUUGAUGCACGGGCUCCCGGGAAUAACUAAAGUUGAUAUACUUUGUCGUUUGUAGAUGAUUAAUUGACACGUGUUUGUGUUGGGAAAUUCCAACUGCUUUUCUUAUCUCCUUGAUGUUAUGUCUGGCUGUACUGUUGCUACUUGUUAAUGGAUUUCGGUAAUUGUGUGAAGAAACUACCAGGUGUAUCAUAUGUUUUGUGCUGCCUGAUGCUGGUGGCAGCAUGCGGAUGAUUGUUGGAAGAGAUGCAAAGGUAUCACACGAGCAACUGCUCUACUGCAGUCAAUAGCAGUGGAAUUGGUGGGAUACAAGCAAGGGAUACAUCCCGUUCUGAGUUGCCUGUAGUUUCACCUAAUUUUUCAGUGAAUCCGAGGAGAUCAGUACAAGUAACACCAUACAGAUUGAGGUGUGACAGGGAACCACUAAAUCCCCGGCUUGGACCACCGGAUUUCCACCCCCAGACGUCAAAUUGUCCUGAAGAGACACUUACGAAGGAGUAUGUGCAAGUGGGUUAUAGAGAAACUGUUGAGGGACUUGAGGAAGCUAGAGAACUUUUGUUCUCGCAGGUUGAGGCUUUUGCAAAGCCUGUCAUUGUAAAGUGCAAAGAGUCGAUCAGAAAAUAUCAUAGAGCAAUAAAUGAGUCUCGUGCUCAAAAAAGAAAGGCCGGCCAAGUUUAUGGGAUCCCACUAUUGGGUACACUUUUGACCAAGUCUGGAAUAUUUCCAGAGCUUAGACCAUGUGGAGAAGACAUCCGGAAGAAAUGGAUUGAGGGUUUGUCUCAACCUCAUAAACGAUUGCAAUCAUUGGCCAAUCAUAUUCCUCAUGGCUAUAGGAAGAAGUGUCUGUUUGAAGUUCUAAUUAAAAAUAAUGUUCCAUUAUUGAGAGCGACAUGGUAUAUCAAAGUAACUUAUCUUAAUCAGGUUCGACCUGUAUCUUUGAAUUCUUCUUCUGCUUUUCAUGAAAGAAGUUAUCUGUUACGGUCAGAACUGUGGACAAAGGAUAUUAUUGAGUACUUGCAGUAUCUGCUGGAUGAAUUUAUGACAGGGAACAUCUCUCGAUCUACUUUGCACAUUCAAGAUCGGUCCUCACCGAUUGUUUAUGGCAGUUCUGCUCAACAAAAAGGUAAUUCAUUUUCAGCUGUAAUGGAUAGUGAGGAGCCUUCCCUUGACAAAAAAUGGUGGUACAUGGUGAGGAUUAUUCACUGGCACCAUGCAGAAGGAAUUCUUGUUCCUUCGUUGAUUAUUGAUUGGGUUCUUAAUCAACUCCAGGGAAAAGAAGUACUUGGCAUUGUGCAGUUGCUGCUACCAGUCUUGUAUGGUAUUAUAGAAGCAGUUGUUUUAUCUCAAACCUAUAUGCAUACUCUUGCUGGAAUAGCCAUUCGCUUAAUUCGAGAGCCUUCUCCAGGUGGAUCUGAUCUUAUUGAUAAAUCUAGACAUGCAUAUGAUUCUUCUGCUGUUGUUGAGAUGCUUCGAUAUUUAGUACUUGCUGCACCAGAUGCUUUUGUUGGUUUUGAUUGUUUUCCAUUGCCGAAGUAUGUGGUAAGCCGUCUGGUAAAUGAUGGAAGCUUCAUUCAGAAAAUGCCUGGGGAUGCUAGUAUGGUGAAGGAUGGUCACAUCAAGUCUUCCAGCAAUAAAUUUCAUGGGUUUCAAAAAAAGUCCUUAUCCUUUACCAGUGUUGUAUCAUCCAUUCAAAAACGAGCCGAAACUCUUUCAAGAGCAGCCAGACCUAACCAUCCAAGUUAUAAUGUAGCUAAAGCUUUGCAGGUGUUGGACCAGUCUCUCAAUGAUGGAGAUAUUGAAGUUGCCUACAAGUUACUCUUUGAAAAUCUUUGGAAUGGACCAAGUGCUGAACGUUGGAUUGCAGAAGUAAGCCCUUCUUUACAGAUGUCACUCAAGCAUAUCAGCUCGGUGACAUCAUCAUUACUUUGCUCCAUCUUUUUUUUAUGUGAAUGGGCAACUUGUGAAUAUAGGAAUUUCCGUAAUGGACCUCCUCAUGGUCUGAAGUUCACUGGUAGGAGAGAUCUGUCACCGAUAUUCAUUACACUCCGGCUUUUAAAGAAGAAGAUGAGUAACAUGCCAGAAAUCUCAAGAAGACAAAAGAGUAAAAGUAUUUCAGAUAUAUUUGUGAGCCCUGGUCCUAUGCAUGAUAUUAUUCUCUGUUGGGUUGAUCAGCAUGAAGUACACAAUAAAGAAGGUUUCAAGCGCUUGCAGUUUCUAAUUAGACAAUUAAUUCGGUCGGGUGUUUUUAAUCCUCUGGCAUAUGUCAGACAGCUUAUUGUAAGUGGAGACAUGGGCGGGAAUGGGCCUAUGUUUGACCCAGAAAGGCAGAAAAGGCAUCAGAAGCUCUUAAGGGAGUUGCCUGCUUCUAAUAUUCGUGAUGCUCUGGAAGAAAUCUAUAGUGCUGCUGAGCCAUCAGAUCUUGUAGACGCAAUGAUUGUUUACUCAAAUGAGCGGAGACUGGUACUUUAUGGGAUUCCAGAGAACAAAAAAUCAGAUCCUAUUGCAGAUGGUUCAACUAAGAAAAAAAAGCGUCAAUCUUAUAGAAGUGGAGCUGUUUGUCAAUCUUCUUCACAACAGUGGCACUGUCAAGAUAUAUGUUCAGCAACAAAAAUUGAAACUGAUGCAAAACUAGAGGAUUUGAAGGUUUCAAUUUCUGCACUAUUGCAACUCCCAAUUUCACUAAUUAAUGUUGAAAUUGAUGAAUCACAGAGGAGCAAUAGAAAGCCUGUCACAUCUAUUAAUGGGAUAGAUAGUGAAGAAGUGCAUGGCUGUGAAGAGUGCCGAAGGGCAAAGAAAAUGAGAUUGAGUGAAGAAAUGGGCUCAUCAUUUCUCCAUUCAUUUCCAGAAGAGGAAGAAAUCUGGUGGUUUAGAAAGGGAAUGAACAAUACAGAAUCUUUCAAAGCUGAACCACCUUCCAAGCCUACCAAGCAGUUAUCAUCUAGGGGUAAGCAAAAAUCCGUCCGUAAAACUCAGACUCUUGCAAAAUUAUCUGAUGCUCGAAUUGAAGGAAGUCAGGGAGCAUCAGCGAGCCAUGUAUGUGACAAUAGGAUGGGAUGCCCUCACCACAGGAGUAGUGUUGAUGAGAUCUCAAAGCAUGUGGAUGGGACUCGAAAAUCACCAUCUACAGAUAUUCUUUCAAUUGAAGAACUUUUGAAAAAGGUGCCAUCUAUCAAGAAGGAAAAUGUGGCCUCAUGGUUGAUGUCUGUUGUGAAACAGCUUAUUGAAGAGGCUGAGAAGUUCACAACCAAGGCUGGGCUAUAUGGUCGGCCACCAAUCCCUAUUGAUGAUCAAAUCUCUGUGAGAUGGAGGAUUAGUGACGAUGAACUAUCAUCUAUAUUGUAUAUAAUGGAUCUUUGUGGUGAAUUAGUUUCAGCAACAAGGUUUCUUCUUUGGCUUUUUCCCAAACUUCCAAGGCAUCCUGUUUCAAGUAUCCCCAGCAGGAACUCUCUGGUGUUUCCUAGGCCUGGUGAGAAGCAUACCUGUGACGUAACCGAGGCCUUUCUUUUAUCAUGUAUCCGCAGGUAUGAAAAUAUUAUUGUUGCUGCUGAUCUUAUUCCUGAAACCUUGACUGCCACAAUGCGCCACACUGCAGCAGUCUUGGCAUCUAAUGGCCGGAUUUCUGGGUCACCAUCCUUAAUUUAUUCAUGUUAUCUCCUGAGAAAGUAUGGCAGCAUUGCUAGUGUUCUUGAAUGGGAGAAGUCUUUUAACUCUUCGUGUGAUAAGAGACUUAGUUCUGAACUUGAAGUUGGAAGAUCUUUAGAUGGGGGCUUUACACUUGGUGUCCCAGAUGGAGAAGAUCCUGAUGAUCAUUUUCGUCGAAUGGUUACUGGUUUACGAGUAUCUAGAGUUGGGUCAAGCAUGAAGGAAGUAGUACGGAGAUGUAUGGAUGAAGUAGUCCAACACUUCCAUAGUAAAGACCGAAAGCAUUUGAGUCCUGGGACAAAUAAAAUUCGUAGCGUGGAGAGGUGGGAUGAUGGCUGUCAAACAGCUCAAAAAAUAGUGAUGGGAUUGAUGGAUUGCAUGAAACAUACAGGCGGUGCUGCUCAGGAAGGCGAUCCAUCAUUAGUGGCUCAUGCUAUAGGUGCAAUUGUUAACAGUGUUGGUCAGGUUGUUGCUAGAAUUCCUGAUCUAUCUGUCAGCACUAGCCACUCAAAUGCUCCUCCAUCUGGCUCAUUACUUUUUGCUCGGCACAUGCUACGCAUUCAUAUCACUUGCCUAUGCAUACUGAAGGAAGCCCUUGGCGAACGCCAUAGCCGUGUCUUUGAGAUUUCCCUUGCAACAGAAUCUUCUUCUGCUCUCAGUUUUAUCCUUGGGAAGGCUCCUCGAAGUCAAUAUCAUAUGUCGCCUGAUUCCCAUGACUUUAAUUCAAACUUAUCCAACGAAGCUUUGAACCAUUCUGGUAAAGUAGGCCAAGGGACAGCCACAAGAAUUUCGGCUUCUAUUUAUGCACUUCUUGUUGGGGCAAUACUCCAUGGAGUUUCUAGCCUGGAGAGAAUGGUGAUACUCUUUAAAUUAAAUGAAGGGAUUGAUCUAAUUCAGUUUACAAGAAAUAUGAAAUCCAAUGUGAAUGGAAAUGCCCGACCAAUGGGGUUUUUAAAGGUGGAUAAUUUGAUAGAAAUUUCUGCUAGCUUGUUCAGGGUUCUUGUAGGGAAUUGUCGAACUGUUUCAGAUGGUUUUAUAGUGGAUCUUCUUGGUGAAGCUUCAAUUUUAGCAUUAUCCAGAAAGCAGCGGAUACUACCUUUAGAUUUGGUGUUUCCACCUGCCUAUUCCAUAUUUUCUUUUGUAGUAUGGAGACCCGUUCUGGAUGCACUCCUUGGAGCACGUGAUGAUUUGCAGCACUUGUAUCAAAUAUUGGGAAUUGCCAUGGAUGAUGCCAUAAAGCACCUGCCUUUUCGUGAGAUUUGUCUGCGAGAUACACGCAGCUUAUAUAAUCUCAUCUCUGCCGAUUCGUUGGAUUCUGAGUUUGUAUCAUUGUUAGAAUCCAGUAGCCUGGAUAUCAAUGUGAAAGCUGCUGCACUGGUUCCUCUUCGUUCGAGACUUUUGUUGGAUGCGCUCAUGGAUUGCAAAAUUCCACAAUCUAUAAUUAAGGUGGAUGACAAGAAUAGGUUCUCUGGGCAAGGCGAAUUGAAAAAACAAUAUGGAGAAAACGUUAAAAAGCUUAUGGGAAAAGUUGUGCAUGUUUUGGAUACACUGCAACCAGCACGAUUUCAUUUGCAAUGGGUUGAGCUGAGGCUGCUUCUAAAUGAACAGGCUGUCAACGAAAAGAUAGAGAAUGAUAUCUCCCUGAUUGAGGCUGUAAGAUCUCUUUCACCUUCCUCUGAAAGAAGUACUUCAGAGACGGAGAGCAACUUUGUGCAAAUUAUUCUGACCAGGUUAUUGGUCAGGCCCGAUGCAGCACCUUUGUUUUCUGAGGUGGUUCAUCUCAUGGGGAAAUCAGUUGAAGAUUCUUUGUUGUCGCAAGCAAAAUGGUUGCUGAGAGGUGCUGAAGUUCUCUAUGGCAAGAAAUCAAUCAGGCAGAAGAUUGUGAAUAUUGCUGCCGAACUUAAAGAACCAUGCUCAAAGCCCCGGCACUCAAAACCAUGGGGAUGGUGUCAUUCUGAUAUUAAUAGAGUGACUAGCAAGAGAGAGAAACUAAAAUCUGCAAACACUGCCCUCGAAGAGGGAGAAGUUGUUGAUGAAGGGAUUGGGUUCAAGCAUUCUGGAAAAGGAUCUGGUGUUUCAGAUGUCGAAGGCUUCAUUGUCAGCCAGCAGCGUUUGACUGAACGAGCUCUUGUUGCCCUAAUCCUUCCGUGCCUGGAUCGAGGUUCUAAUGACUUGCGCUAUAAUUUUGCGAAUGAGAUGUUCAAGCAGAUAAGCAAUAUUGAACAACAAAUUAAUGUAGUUAUUCAAGGAGUUAGCAAGCAACCAGUUGCUCCUGGUCUGACUUUUGGAAGUCCAACAAGUAAAAGUGGCAAUAGGAAAAGUGUGAAAAGUGGUAGCCCUGGAAUAUCCAGACAAUCAGUUGGAACAGCUGAUGCCAUUCCACCUUCACCUGCUGCAUUGCGCGCCUCCUUGACUUUGCGACUGCAGUUCUUAAUCAGAUUGCUACCUGUUAUUUGUACGGACAGGGAGCCUUCGGGUCGAAAGUUGAGAUAUGCACUUUCAACAGUGAUUUUGCGCCUCCUUGGAAGCAGGGUCGUGUAUGAGGAUGCUGGUCAUAUUGUCAAUCCUGCAUUGGUUUUGUCAAAGAGGAAUGCAGAGUCUCCAUUGGAGACUUCCACUGCUGCUGAACUGUGCGAGGAAACCAUAUUUGAUCAUCUAUUGUUAGUUUUCUAUAUGUUGCUGAGCUCUCACCAGCCGAGCUGGUUGAAACCAAAGUCUGAAGCAAAGACCACUGAAGUCAGCAAGGACUCCACUGCUUUCGAACGUGAAGCUGCUGAAAACCUGCAGAAUGACUUGGAUCGGAUGGAAAUCCCAGAAACAGUCAGAUGGCGUAUCCAAACUGCAAUGCCGAUUCUUUCUUCAUCUUUACAGUGUUCCAUCUCUUGCCAGCCUCCUGGAGUGCCACCUACUGCUGUCUCCUGUCUCCAUCCGAGCAAUCCUGUGGUCACAUUCAACUCCAGCAACCCAAUUCCAUUUCAGCGGACCCACCAAUCAUUACCCAGUCGAACUUCAAAAACCAAGCCACGGGGAGGUUCACAGCAGGCCCACCUCGAUGCAUCUGAGACUAUUGAUCAAUGGACACUUCUGGAAGAUGGGACUGGAUCAAGCCAGCCAUCUGUAAAAUCUACCAGCCCUGCUGGUAACAGUGGCGAUCAUCAUUCGAAUCCAAAGGCAUCUAGCUGGCUUAAGGGAGCUGUGAGAAUAAGAAGAACCGAACUGACAUACAUUGGAGCAGUAGAUGAGGACAGCUGACUCACAUGGCUGAACAGAACAGUAAACUUCAUUUUCUCCAUUUCUGUGAAAGUAGCACUGUCAUCCUCCGGCAGGGAGAGUGGCUAUAUUUACCGGCAGACAGAUGCUGUUACCCGUGGUCGAGACAUGGGCUAUCCAUGGUUUGUGAAGAUACAAAUUGCUUUUAUCUAUGGUGCUAAAUUGAGGUAAGAUUGAUUGUAUUUAUUUGUAUAUUAGGUUUUUGAAGGACAGACAGAUAGAUACGUACAUAUAUUGUCUUGAUCGUCUUGCAGAUAAAAGGUGUGGUCAUUAUUAUCAUAAUCUUAUGGGAAGUGUUUGAUUGGGGAUGAAAAUAGUGUAGGAAAUAUGCUAAUAAUCAAGUCAUAUUAGGUAAGCUCUGUGUGAUUCGAUUUAGAAGACUUAUGUAGAGUUUGAAUUAGUGGUCUUGUGAUCACAAGUUAGAGCGAGCGAGCGAGCUCGACCAUAACCAUUACCGACCCGGCCGGACUCGAGAUUGUAUAUAAAAUCAAGUGUUUGUUUUUUAGUUCAAAAAAACAAAAAAAUACUAUAUAG